rnacentral:lncRNA from 1 species
GUGGCGGUGCCUUUGACAGAUGGUUAUUUACUAUGAGAGGUAGGGGUACCUUUGACUGGUGGUUAUUUACUAUGAGAGGUAGCGGUACCUUUGACAGGUGGUUAUUUACUUUGAGAGGUAGCGGUACCUUUGACAGAUGGUUAUAUACUUGGGGAGGUAGCGGUACCUUUGACAGGUGGUUAUUUACUAUGAGAGGUAGCGGUACCUUUGACAGAUGGUUAUAUGCUUGGAGAGGUGGCGGUACCUUUGACAGAUGGUUAUAUACUUUAGAGAGAUAGCGGUACCUUUGACAGGUGGUUAUUUACUAUGAGAGGUAGUGGUACAUUUGACACAUGGUUAUUUACUAUGAGAGGUAGCGGUACCUUUGACAGAUGGUUAUUUACUAUGAGAGGUAGCGGUCCCUUUGACAGGUGGUUAUUUCCUAUGAGAGGUAGCGCUACCUUUGACAGAUGGUUAUUUACUACGAGAGGUAGCAGUACCUUUGACAGGUGGUUAUUUACUAUGAGAGGUGGCGGUACCUUUGACAGAUGGGUAUAUACUUGGAGAGGUAGCAGUACCUUUGACUGGUACAUGAGUGGAAGCGUCACUUGCGACAGGUGGUUAUUUACUAGGAGAGGAAGCAGUAUACUGCACUGGUUUAAAUGGAUAGUGUUACUCAAGACAUUGUGAAGAUCUGAUGUUCCCUUGCCUGUGUUCUUCAACUAUAGUAUUUUUUUGUUGUCAUUCAUCUAUUCCUGUAUAUUUUACCUGUUUUUUGACCCACAGCUAUAUAGAAUUUGGAGCUUUUUACUGUGGAUCACCAAAAUUUUAAUGUUUUGUGUUAAUGCACAGGAGGAGUUAAUCACAAAUUAGAAGAUCUUGCAAAUAUUUCUUAGUUUCUCUUGAAAAAAAAUCAAGACAUCAUUUUGUAAUGGUUUCUUUUUUAUGUUUGAAGAAGAAUAACAAAAGUAAAUAUUUGUUGAUUUACAGUUAAAGUGGCAUAAUUUCAUUUUUUGACAGCUGUUUUAACUGUAUUUUUCUAAAAGAAAUAGUGCUACAUUGAUGAAUAAUGAUUAGUAUCCAUUAAUUUCUAGUUUGGUUUUAAACAAGCACAAACGAAACGUAGACUUGAAUUGCCCAUAUAGACGAACGACGCUUUCAUUCCAUGAUAUUUGUUCCAACACAGGAAAUUUAUGAGUGUGAUGUUUAAAGGAUUUUAUAAACUCAAUUGUUAAAUUUUGUGUGCAUGUGUUUAUGAAAAUAUAUUAAUCCCAUUGAAAUCAAAUAUUUAUAUGUAUUUGUGAAGAGUUGUAUAGGAUGUGAUAUUUAAGUUAUUAGAACUUUUAUCCAGAUUGAUUUAUCUUUGCCGAUAAAUCUUGAUUUGAUGAUAGAUGUAACAGAUAAUCUAAGGAAAAGCAUUGUUUUAUUAACACAUGGCCUCUAAAGUGUUAAGCAGAUUACAAACAAGUGCACAAACUUACAAAUAACUAUAAGUUGACAGGUUUAUUUUAUAGGGCACAUUAGGUAGGAACCUGUCAACUGAAUCCACGGAAAACCGUUUUAACUUGAAAAUCUGUAAUGAGCAUAAAAGUGAAUUUGAUAUUGUGGGUGGGGGGUAGUAACAAGCCCACGGGUCAGAAAUGUUCUUUAACUUAAGUGAAUUCCUUAGAUUAAUUUUUCUUCCAUAGAAAGCAUAGAGACUUUUUUCCUUAACUAAAUAAUGCCAUCCUGUAGAAAAACUGAAGAUAAGGAAUUUCCUUAAGCGAAAGAAGGUUCCUGAAACUGGGGCCAGGUUGCUAAAUGAAAAUUAAGAUACCAGAAGCUUUAUUAAUAAUUUAUGACACUUUCGUAUUACAUGUACAUGGAAUAUAUCGGGUACUAGUAAGAAUAAUUUCGCCAUUUGAGGCAUAAUUUGCCCUUAUUUAGAUUCCAUUAGCAAGUCGUGGUUAUCAUUUAUAAAAAUGCAGCAGAACUUUAUCCUGUAAACUUUGAGUUAUUUACAUGUUGUUUUUCAUUAUCAUUGUAACAUAUGACACAAACAUUUCAAUUUCAUUUAUUGGAGGAAUUCAAAACAAUAUAUCCAUGAUAUGUACUUCUCCUCAAACAUCAUCUUGAUUGCUCCAUUGUUGAUAUAUAUAUUAAAAUAAAAUAAAGUAAAAAAUG